rnacentral:tRNA from 1 species
GCGGAUAUGGUGAAGUGGUUAACACACCGGAUUGUGGCUCCGGCAUGCGUCGGUUCGAACCCGAUUAUCCGCC